GAUAUCAACUGAAAAAGUCAUCAACAACAAAGUUGAAUAACUCAUCAAGAUCUAAAACUUUUAUUUUGGUCAUUUCUUCAUACGACAAAGUGAUAGUAACAUUGUUCACAAAAUUGACAUAUCUCUUAUCUGGUUUUAUAAACUAUAACACAUAUAUGUAAAAUUUUUGAAUAAUAUUACUAACAUUUCGUCAGAUGAAGAAAUAACAAAAAUAAAAGUUUUAGAUCUUGAUGAGUUAUUCAACUUUGUUGUUGAUGACUUUUUCAAUUGAAAUC
rnacentral:pre_miRNA from 1 species